AGAGCCACUUGUUAUCAGGAAGCUGCUCUCUCAGCACAACGGAAAAUAUCUCAAUGACUUGACAUGUUCUGGCUGUGAAUUCAGGCUACAAGAACCAGGAAGUCCAUCCCCCUUCACAAACUCUCUUCUGAGGAAACGAAACUGAUCUGAGUCUCUGUGUCGUCUGUCUGUGUGAGAGUGAACAACCGUCCAAAUGGCUCAACAGGGAGUUCUGCUGGACCAGGACCAGUUCUGUUGUUCUGUCUGUCUGGAUCUACUGAAGGAACCAGUCACCAUCCCCUGUGGACACAGUUACUGUAGGAGCUGUAUUGAGGGCUGCUUGGAUCAGGAUGUUCUGAAAGGGGUCUAUAGCUGUCCUCAGUGCAGACAGACCUUCAGUCCGAGGCCGACGCUGAGGAAAAAUAACAUGUUGGCUGAGCUGGUGGAGAAACUGAAGAAGACAGGACUCCAGGCUGCUCCCCCUCCUGCUCUGUGCUAUGCUGGACCUAGAGAUGUGGCGUGUGAUGUCUGUACUGGGACCAGAAAGCAGAAAGCCCUCAUGUCCUGUCUGGCGUGUCUGGCCUCUUACUGUGAGACUCACCUCCAACCUCACUACGAAUCUCCAGCUUUCAAGAAGCACAAGAUGGUCAAAGCCACCGCACAACUACAGGAGAAGAUAUGCUCUCAUCAUGACAAACUGCUGGAGGUUUACUGUCGUACCGAUCAGCAGUGUAUCUGUCUGCUGUGUGUGAUGGAUGAACAUAAAGGCCAUGAUACAGUGUCAGCUGCAGCAGAGAGGACUGAGAAACAGAGGCAGCUGGGGAUGAGUCAGCAGAAGGUCCAGCAGAGAUUCCAGGAGAGAGAGAAGGAGCUGAAGGAGCUCCAACAGGCUGUGGAGUCUCUCAAGCGCUCUGCACAGGCAGCAGUGGAGGACAGUGAUCAGAUCUUUACUGAGCUGAUCCGCUCCAUUGAGAGAAGGAGCUCUGAGGUGAAGGAGCUGAUCAGAGCCCAAGAGAAGGCUCAAGUGAGUGAAGCUGAAGGAGUCCUGGAGCAACUGAAGCAGGAGAUAGCUGAGCUGAGGAAGAGAAGCACUGAGCUGGAGCAGCUCUCACACACAGAGGAUCACAUCCAUUUCCUCCAGAGUUAUCAGUCUCUCUCCAGUAUCAGUGUAUCUUCAGACUUACCCAGCAUCGUUGUCCGUCCUCUUCAGUACUUUGGAGAUGUGAGUAAGACUGUGUCUGAACUGAGAGAGAAACUAGAAGACUUCCUUAAAGGAGAAUGGACCAAGAUCUCCACUACAGUGAAUAUAGUGGAGGUUGUUCUGCCUCCAGAGCCCAAGACCAGAGAACAGUUGUUACAAUAUUCCUGUCAGCUCACACUGGACCCAAACACAGCACACACACACCUCUCUCUGUCUGAAGGGAACAGAAAGGUGACCUAUACAGGCCAAGUCCAACCAUAUCCUGACCAUCCAGACAGAUUCACCAACAUAUUCCAGGUUCUGUGUAGAGAGGGUCUGUCUGGACGCUGUUACUGGGAGGUGGAGUGGACUGGUGGUGUUAUUACAGCAGUCUCAUAUAAAGACAUCAGCAGAACAGAGAGAGGUAAUAGAUUUGGAUUCAAUAACAAGUCCUGGAGUUUACAGUGCUAUAGAGGUGGUUAUUAUUUCAUACACAAUAAUGUUGAGACUAAAGUAUCAGGCCCUCAGUCCUCCAGAGUAGGAGUGUACCUGGAUCACAAGGCAGGUACUCUGUCCUUCUACAGUGUCUCUGACACAAUGACCCUCCUCCACAGAGUCCAGACCACAUUCACUCAGCCCCUCUAUCCUGGGUUUAAUCUCUAUUAUACUGAGCUGGUUAAACUGUAG
rnacentral:lncRNA from 1 species